GGCCUAUGCCUAAGUUCCCUCCUUUUAAGGGAUUUGAUCAUCCUUUCCCUUUACCUCCACCUUUGGAGCUUCCACCGUUUCCUAAACCAUGCCCACCACCUCCGGUUCCGGUGUACGAGCCACCCCCAAAGGUGGAACUUCCACCACCUGUCCCGGUUCACGAGCCACCCCCAAAGGUAGAGGUUCCACCACCCGUCCCGGUUCACGACCCACCGCCAAAGGUGGAGCACCCACCUCCGGUUCCGGUUUACAAGCCACCUCCAAAGGUAGAGCACCCACCUCCAGUUCCGGUUUACAAGCCGCCUCCAAAGGUAGAGCACCCACCUCCGGUUCCGGUUUACAAGCCACCUCCAAAGGUAGAGCACCCACCUCCGGUUCCAGUACACAAGCCACCAACAAUCCCUAAGAAGCCAUGCCCGCCUAAGUCGCCGAAGAUUGAGCUUCCACCGCCAGUGCCAGUUCACAAACCACCGACUAAGAAGCCUUGUCCGCCCAUGCCACCAAAGAAAGUUGAUCCGCCACCGGUUCCAGUCCACAAGCCGCCGCCGAAAAUAGUCCUUCCACCGCCGGUACCAAUCCACAAGCCGCCAAAGAAGCCGUGCCCGCCUAAACCGCCAAAGGUCGAGCUUCCACCACCAGUACCGGUCUACAAGCCACCACCGAAGAUAGAGCAUCCACCAAUCUAUGUGCCACCGGUGAUCCCGAAGAAGCCGUGCCCUCCCAAAGCGCCGAAGAUCGAUCCACCACCGGUUCCUGUCUACAAGCCGCCACCGAAGAUAGAGCAUCCACCAAUCUACGUGCCACCAGUGAUCCCAAAGAAGCCGUGUCCUCCGCCGGUGCCAAUCUACGUGCCACCGGUGGUGAUCCCGAAGAAGCCAUGUCCAC
rnacentral:lncRNA from 1 species